CAUAGUUAAUUUUUAUGUCCUGCAUCAAUUUGUUUUAACCUCUUUUGCUUUGUCGUCUCAUUCCUAAACAGAAUUGGAUCACACGAGGCUCUCCAAGGCUUCACCACAUCAUUAGCCAUGGGGGGGAGCACGUGAAGUCCCUCGUUGUCUAAAGGCAGGCCAUAAAAUGCCAAACACACUCCCACUCCCACUGCCCCUCUCCCAAAACAUGUGUCAACACUCUUCAUCUUCACGAGCAGUGCACAUGCCCUCUCUCCUCACCAUUGUCACCUCCCGAUCUAAAUCCUCACUGGACUAAACAUUAUUGUCAUCACCAACAGCCAUAUAAUGCUGACCAAAUUCCUCUUGUCGACCGCAUUAGGAGCAUUUUGCUUUUUCUUCUACAUUCCUUUUUCCCCUUCAUCUCUUCCAAAUUCCGUCACAUCAUCUUCAUUGCCUCUCUUGGCAUGCUUGUGCACUCUGCAACUUAGCCCUUUUGAUGUACCAAAUGCCGUUUGACUCGCAUGAUUCCAAUGGUUAUUAUUCUGCCACAGUACAUGCAUUUCAUGGAGUGCCUAAUCCUACCCACUUUCACACAAUGCCGUCAUAUGUUAUCCUUACUUCCUGGUUGAGCCACCAUUUUCUCCUGCUCACAACAUAAAAUCAGCAGGACAACUCACAGGUCACCAUAACCCCAAGCUACUCUAAAGGCAUCAAGCUCCUCACUUGUCAAAAUAUAAACAUAUAAACAAAUAUACCUUUCAAAAAAAAAAAAAAAAAACCAUAUAAACAAAUACAAUUAUACAAGUUAGAAAUUUAAAAUCAAAUUCCAAGUAUUUCAACCAUCCACACUCAAAAGAAAAGGAAAAAAGAAGAAGAAAGAAAAGUCCAAUUUUGCUGAAUUUUUGAACUGAUACUAUAUAUUCCAGAAAUUAGCUAUUAUAUAUGUGUGUGUUAGAAGAUGUGUAAAAAUUUAAUCUAAGGCAUGAAUGUGUAGAUUGAAAGAUUUUACAUGUAUUCCAACCAUCCACACUCAAAAGAAAAGAACAAAGAAGAAACGAAUUUGCUGAAUUUUAUGAACCAACAUUAGUCAUUCCAGAAGUUACCCGAAAAAAAAAAGGUACAAAAAAUAGAAAAUGAGAUGCAAAAAUCUGAUUGAGGCAUGCAUGUGUAGAUCUAAUGAUUCUACAUGUAUUCCGAUCAUCCACACUCAAAAGAAAAGAAAAAAAAAAAGUUCUCCUGAAUUUUAUGAACUAACACUAUUCAUUCCAGAAAUUAGCCAAAAACAGAAAAAAUUACCAACUCAGAAAAUGAGAUGUAAAAAGCUGAUCUAAGGCAUGCAUGUGUAGAUAAAAUGAUUCUGUGUACUCCAAACCAUCAACACACACACACCAAAAACAAAAAAAACAAAAAAAAAAAAAACCGGAAACAAAGAAGGAUUUUUGCUGGAUUUUAUGAAUUGAUAUUAUCCAUUCGACGAAUUACCCGAAAAUAGAAAAACUACAAAAAAGAAAAAAAAAUGUGAUGAAAAAAAACCCUGAUCUGAGGCAUGCAUGUGUAGCUAAUGAUUCUACAUGUAUUCCAACCAUCCACACUAAAAAAAGAAAAGAUUUUUGCUAAAUUUUAUAAGUUGACGCUAUUCAUUCCACAAAUUAGCUGAAAAUAAAAUAUUAUCUAAAAAUGGAAAAUGAUAUAAAUCUCAUCUACUGCAUGCAUAUGUAGAUCUAAAGAUUCUACAUAGCGAUUGCUGAAUUUUACGUACAAAAAAUCAGCAAAAUUACAAAAAAUUAAAAUUAAAAUCAAGUCGACCACAAAUCCAGCAAGAUAUGGUUGAUUUGGUGAUGUAAUCUUGAACUUAAUUAUUUCCAACGAGAAUGGAAAAAAGAAAAAAGUUUUUUACGUCUUUUUUCGAUUUUCCCCAAUUGUUGCCUUGAACUUAUUCAUCCAACAUAUUUGCCUCCUCUACCUUAGCAAUGCUAAACCUAUCAAUCAUCUUUUCCAGCAUUGCCCUUAUGUGAACGAAGUCUAGUAUGCUAUUUUGAUCAAGUUUCAUUCCCCCUGGGUGAUGCCUGGUUCAAUUCCCAGCUUGCUAUUCGCCUAGCAUGGAGAAGGCACUAGGAGAGAC